AGAGACAGAGGGACGGAGACCGAGGCACCGAGAAGUAGUUCAGGAAGAGAGAGAGGAGAUUCAGAGACUUAAAAGGAGAAAAAGAACAGGAGGCGGCCAUUCCCAGAGACCGAUAAACAGACGGACCCAAGGAGGUGGAGGAUAGAGCCCUCUUCCCAGUCUGGCAGGAGUCUCCCCUCACUUUGAAUGGGGCCAAAGAGGUCCAGCCCACUAGGCCUCUGGGGAUGGGUGUCCCUGCGCUACUGGAGAAUCUCCCCAAGGGCUCAGCUGGGAAACACCUGUCCUUCAACAAGAGGAUUUACUGCAAACUUCAAGUCUGGCUUGUUAGAAAGUAGAAGACUGUCUACUUCCCAGGUAUGGAGCCCAGGCCCCUGAGGCAGGAAGAUGAGAAGGCCGAGGCACUGAAAGCUGGGAAGGGACACAGACUGGACUCAAAUGCUGUUUUUCUGACUCCAUUCAUUACGAGCUGAUUUCUCAACACCAAACUCGGUAGCUGUGGCCCUCGCUUUGCAGGAGUAUCUUGCAUGUGUCUAGUGACUCCCUUGGAAGGCAGUGUCCCUGAAGGCAGAGUGAAGAUGACGAAAGAUUUGGCUUCACCCUCCGGGAGCCCCCAAGCUGACUUUCUGGGUCUGGACAGGCCUCCAGCGUGCACACCAGUGUGGAAGGUCAGCCACGCUCCUGCAGGACAAACGACACAUGGGAGGGAGUGGGUGACCGCAAGGCAUUAGUUAAGGACGGCCUUUUAUGAAGGAAAAACCUUGAAGGUCUCUCUCUGAAGACCCCAAAGGUGAGCCUUGGCUGCACUACUUAAGCUCCCAGAAUCUGGCUCGUUAAUCUGUAAAGGGAUAGAAAGCACUCUGGUUUCCAGCACCGUC